GGGGACGACCUGGCUUCGACGUGGGUUGCAAAGCAGAACAGGGCAUACCGAGGGCUGGUUACCUCGUAAAUACACCCAGAAACAAACUAACUGCAAACGAUAACUCGUACGCACUGGCAGCCUAAGGGCUGUUAGCUCCUCAACGCUUCUUCCCUGGGGCGGGCCGUUAAAAGCUGAGGAGUCAUUUACAGGGAAUCGCGCUGCUACGGGUCACUUGGAUCAGCGCUAAAUUUAAGGUGAAUCGCCAGUACAAAGCGUGCACAUUCGCGUUGUGCUGGUUAAAUUAAAAGAUAGUGCUAAGUAUGUAGAACUGUCUGUAGAGUGCUUGCGGACGCGGGUUCGAUUCCCGCCGUCUCCACCA
rfam:Massilia sp. NR 4-1, complete genome.